rnacentral:rRNA from 1 species
UUUGACCUCGGAUCAGGUAGGGAUACCCGCUGAACUUAAGCAUAUCAUAAA